rnacentral:rRNA from 1 species
AUUGAACGCUGGCGGCAGGCCUAACACAUGCAAGUCGAGCGGAUGAAGGGAGCUUGCUCCUGGAUUCAGCGGCGGACGGGUGAGUAAUGCCUAGGAAUCUGCCUGGUAGUGGGGGAUAACGUCCGGAAACGGGCGCUAAUACCGCAUACGUCCUGAGGGAGAAAGUGGGGGAUCUUCGGACCUCACGCUAUCAGAUGAGCCUAGGUCGGAUUAGCUAGUUGGUGGGGUAAAGGCCUACCAAGGCGACGAUCCGUAACUGGUCUGAGAGGAUGAUCAGUCACACUGGAACUGAGACACGGUCCAGACUCCUACGGGAGGCAGCAGUGGGGAAUAUUGGACAAUGGGCGAAAGCCUGAUGCAGCCAUGCCGCGUGUGUGAAGAAGGUCUUCGGAUUGUAAAGCACUUUAAGUUGGGAGGAAGGGCAGUAAGUGAAUACCUUGCUGUUUUGACGGUACCAACAGAAUAAGCACCGGCUAACUUCGUG